GGGGGGAGGCCGGAUCCUGGGCUGUGUCCCGGCGCCCUGUGCUCCGAGGCCUGCGCUGUUGGAUUCGCGCUCCCGGGCCGCGCAACCCCCU
rnacentral:pre_miRNA from 1 species